rnacentral:sRNA from 1 species
UUUCCCUUAAUGGUGCUGUCUGCCUGCCAGGAGACAUAUGAGAACACAAGCCACCAGGUGCACACCCUGCGGAGGCUCAUUAAAGAGAAGGAGGAGGCCUUCCAGCGUCGAUGCCAUUUGGAGCCAAAUGUCCGGGGCCUGGAGUCUGUGGACAGUGAGGCCCUGGCCAGAGUAGGCCCUGCAGAGCUGAGUGAGGGCAUGCCACCCUCCGACCUGGACCUUCUGGCUCCAGCCCCACCCCCUGAGGAGGUCCUGCCUCUUCCUCCACCACCAGCUCCGCCCUUGCCCCCUCCACCUCCCCCAUUACCAGACAAGUGUCCCCCAGCCCCACCUCUCCCUGGUGCUGGACCCUCUGUGGUGUUGACAGUGGGCCUGUCAGCCAUUCGAAUUAAGAAACCUAUCAAGACCAAGUUCCGGCUGCCUGUCUUCAACUGGACAGCACUGAAACCCAACCAGAUCAGUGGCACUGUCUUCAGCGAACUUGAUGAUGAGAAGAUCUUGGAGGACCUGGAUCUUGAUAAGUUUGAAGAAUUAUUCAAGACAAAAGCGCAGGGCCCUGCCCUUGACCUCAUCUGCUCCAAAAACAAGACAGCGCAAAAAGCUGCCAGCAAGGUGACUCUGUUGGAAGCCAAUCGUGCCAAGAACCUGGCCAUCACCCUACGCAAGGCUGGCCGCUCGGCUGAGGAGAUCUGCAGGGCCAUUCAUACGUUUGACUUGCAGACACUACCUGUGGACUUCGUGGAGUGCCUGAUGCGCUUCCUGCCCACAGAGGCUGAGGUAAAGCUGCUGCGGCAAUAUGAGCGUGAGCGGCAGCCCCUGGAGGAGUUGGCAGCUGAGGACCGCUUCAUGCUGCUCUUCAGCAAGGUGGAACGGCUGACCCAGCGAAUGGCUGGCAUGGCCUUCCUGGGGAACUUCCAGGAUAACCUGCAGAUGCUCACACCGCAACUCAAUGCCAUCAUUGCGGCGUCCGCUUCCGUCAAGUCUUCACAGAAGCUGAAGCAGAUGUUGGAGAUCAUACUUGCACUGGGGAACUACAUGAACAGCAGCAAGCGGGGAGCUGUGUAUGGCUUCAAGCUCCAGAGCCUGGAUCUGCUGUUGGAUACCAAGUCCACUGACCGGAAGAUGACACUGCUUCAUUUCAUCGCCUUGACAGUGAAGGAGAAAUACCCAGACCUGGCUAACUUCUGGCAUGAGCUGCACUUUGUUGAGAAGGCUGCAGCAGUGUCCCUGGAGAACGUGCUGCUGGACGUGAAGGAGCUGGGCCGGGGCAUGGAGCUGAUUCGGCGUGAGUGCAGCAUCCAUGACAACAGCGUCCUCCGGAACUUCCUCAGUACCAAUGAAGGCAAACUAGACAAGCUCCAGCGGGACGCCAAGACGGCUGAGGCCUACAAUGCAGUUGUGCGCUACUUUGGCGAGAGUCCCAAGACUACACCUCCUUCUGUAUUCUUCCCAGUAUUUGUCCGAUUCAUUCGUUCUUACAAGGAAGCAGAACAAGAGAAUGAAGCCCGCAAGAAGCAGGAGGAGGUAAUGCGGGAGAAGCAGCUGGCUCAGGAAGCCAAGAAACUGGAUGCCAAGACCCCAUCCCAGCGGAACAAGUGGCAACAGCAGGAGUUAAUAGCAGAGUUGAGGCGGCGCCAGGCCAAGGAACACCGGCCUGUUUAUGAGGGGAAGGAUGGUACCAUCGAGGACAUCAUCACAGGCCUCCACUGCCAGCCUAUGGUUGUUCGCCACCAAGCCAGGAGUGCUGCGCCGCCCAGUGGUCCCCCUCGGGCUCCAGGCCCCCACUGAGACUCUCUCGGAGGCAGAAGCACUUCAGCCCUCAGAGUCCUACAAGUCCAACCAGUGGACCUGGAAUUGGCCAAGGGCCCAGGAGAGGGCUGUGUUGCUCUCUCAACCAUGUCCGCCCCAGCUCUUGAGGCUGGAUCUUUCUACUUGUGCCACUAUGGGCACUAGGUCUGUAGGUCCCUGGUGCUUCCAGUACUGCACUUUGCCCCCCAAGGUCUUUGACAUCAUUUCCUGAAGGGUCACCAAGGGUCAGCUCAGGGCUAGGAAAAACCAUUUCCAGCCUUAGCCUCAACAGGGCACAUAGAUAUCUCUCCCACUAGAGCCCAGAGGGAUGAGAGGAGAGAGCAACUGUCCUUUCUUUUUUUUUCCCCUUCCUUUUUGCAGGCCCUUGGUCAGCUCUGGUCUAGACGUAUCUAGGCUUAGGGAGCCCUGGGACCCUGCCAGUCUCAGUUCAUCUCUUACCGGGAGCAAGGCCCUCUGAAGCAUGGGCCGUGCCAGCUGUGCCCUAGUGAUAAGGGUAAGAGGAGAGAUGUCAGGCUCACUGCCCUUAUUUCUCUGCCCAUUUCAUUCUAGGCUCACACUGUCCUUGUCAAGGUGGGCAGAAGAGCAGAGGUUUUCUCUGCACCAACCACUCUGCAGAUGGCUGGAGAAAGGGUGUGCCAACUCUUCACCUUCUUUCCUCAGCUGUUUUUUGUUUUGUUUUGUUUUUGUUUUUUUGGCAGGGGACAAGGAACAUGGUGGUCUUGGCUGACUAUUUGCUUACCUUCCUGUUUCUCGUCUGCCCCUGGAAGGGAAUGUGGGGGCCCACUUUUUUGUACAUGUACCAUUUCCCUUUCCUCUUGUACAUAAACCUCAGACUCUCCCCCUCUC